CGCGGGGUGGAGCAGAGGUCAGCUCGCCGGUGUCAUUAGCCGGAGGUCGGUGGUUCGAAUCCAUCCCCCGCUACCA
rnacentral:tRNA from 1 species